GGUCGUGCUGAGUCAGUCCA
rnacentral:misc_RNA from 1 species